rnacentral:rRNA from 1 species
AUUGAACGCUGGCGGAAUGCUUUACACAUGCAAGUCGAACGGCAGCACGGACUUCGGUCUGGUGGCGAGUGGCGAACGGGUGAGUAAUGUAUCGGAACGUGCCCAGUCGUGGGGGAUAACGUAGUGAAAAUUACGCUAAUACCGCAUACGAUCUAUGGAUGAAAGCGGGGGAGCGCAAGACCUCGCGCGAGUGGAGCGGCCGAUAUCAGAUUAGGUAGUUGGUGGGGUAAAGGCCCACCAAGCCAACGAUCUGUAGCUGGUCUGAGGGGACGGCCAGCCACACUGGAACUGAGACACGGUCCAGACUCCUACGGGAGGCAGCAGUGGGGAAUUUUGGACAAUGGGCGAAAGCCUGAUCCAGCCAUUCCGCGUGCAGGAUGAAGGCCCUCGGGUUGUAAACUGCUUUUGUACAGAACGAAAAGGUUUCUACUAAUACUAGGAGCUCAUGACGGUACUGUAAGAAUAAGCACCGGCUAACUACGUGCCAGCCGCCGCGGUAA